rnacentral:rRNA from 1 species
GACGAACGCUGGCGGCGUGCCUAAUACAUGUAAGUAGAACGCUGAAGAGAGGAGCUUGCUCUUCUUGGAUGAGUUGCGAACGGGUGAGUAACGCGUAGGUAACCUGCCUUGUAGCGGGGGAUAACUAUUGGAAACGAUAGCUAAUACCGCAUAACAAUGGAUGACACAUGUCAUUUAUUUGAAAGGGGCAAUUGCUCCACUACAAGAUGGACCUGCGUUGUAUUAGCUAGUAGGUGAGGUAAUGGCUCACCUAGGCGACGAUACAUAGCCGACCUGAGAGGGUGAUCGGCCACACUGGGACUGAGACACGGCCCAGACUCCUACGGGAGGCAGCAGGAGGGAAUCCUCGGCAAUAGGGGCAACCCUGACCGAGCAACGCCGCGGGAGUGAAGAAGGUUUUCGGAUCGUAAAGCUCUGUUGUAAGUCAAGAACGGGUGUGAGAGUGGAAAGUUCACACUGUGACGGUAGCUUACCAGAAAGGGACGGCUAACUACGUG